rnacentral:rRNA from 1 species
AGAGUUUGAUCCUGGCUCAGGACGAACGCUGGCGGCGCGCCUAACACAUGCAAGUCGAACGGAACUUGAGAGAGCUUGCUUUUUCAAGUUUAGUGGCGAACGGGUGAGUAACGCGUGAGUAACCUGCCCUGGAGUGGGGGACAACAGUUGGAAACGACUGCUAAUACCGCAUAAGCCCACGGUACCGCAUGGUACUGMGGGAAAAGGAUUUAUUCGCUUCAGGAUGGACUCGCGUCCAAUUAGCURGUUGGUGAGGUAACGGCCCACCAAGGCGACGAUUGGUAGCCGGACUGAGAGGUUGAACGGCCACAUUGGGACUGAGACACGGCCCAGACUCCUACGGGAGGCAGCAGUGGGGGAUAUUGCACAAUGGGGGAAACCCUGAUGCAGCGACGCCGCGUGGAGGAAGAAGGUUUUCGGAUUGUAAACUCCUGUCGUACGGGACGAAUCAUGACGGUACCGUACAAGAAAGCCACGGCUAACUACGUGCCAGCAGCCGCGGU